ACAAAUGUAAAAUAAAAAAUGAACCUGUUCAAUUAAAUGAUCCAAAAAUGUUAACCAAAUGUGUGUGUGUGUGUGUGUGUGUGUGUGUGUACACACACAUACACACAGCACACACAAACCACA